UAAGUACUCACAUGUUGGAAUCU
rnacentral:miRNA from 1 species